UAUUUUAUUUUAAGCAAAAAAUAAAUAAAAUUCAAAAAACCAAAAAAAAAAAAAAACAAAAAAAAUCUCUGUAACAUUUUUUUUAAGAGAAAAUCUCUACAGCUUAUGUCUCUCCCCCUUUUCAAGAACAGAUAAACCCCCAAAUCCCUAUUUCAUUCUUAUCCCCAUUUUCUCUCUCACAAAUUUCAACAACGGACAAGAUUUGCAGCGACGUUCGCCACCACCGUGACAAAUCUUGUUGACGACAACGUUCGCCGUUCACCGACGCGUGGCAGAGCUCCACCUUAUUUUCUCUCACUCUGGCUCUCUCACUACUCCCCAUCACCUUCUCCGCUGUGUCUCGGCAACAAAUGCUAUAUUGAAAAUUUUGGCCGAUUAACUGCUAAUUCGCAGUUCGAUUGCUGCUUCACAAGUGUUAGAUUGUUGAAAAUAGGAUUUAUGAAACCGAAUGGGGAAUUUCACUGGUGAUUGUCAAACUUUUUUUUAAUGGCGGUCAAUUCCUGUGAGGAGGUGAGAUUUCAAUUUCUUUUAGCACCCGAAAUUGUGUUCUACUUCAGAUUAAGGUGCAUUUUCGUCCUUCUCUUUUCCAAGUUUAUUAGCAUUAAUUUAUGCAUUUCGAUGUUCUGUUCCGAUUCAGUUUUCCUGAUUUCCGCGUUUGUUCAUAUACUAAUAUCUUCUGGGCUUUUGGUAUUCUUGUGUUUGGUUUAUGUUGUUGUAUGAAACUUGCAUAUCCAUUGAGUUUGUAUUAUUGCUAUGAUGUUGAAGGUGAAACCCUAACUCUUAGGAACUGCAUUGCUGAGGUAAUCUCUUCAGCUUUGGCCUGGUCGAGUAAUCUUGAGCUCUCCUUGCAUCUACUAAAGUUAUCUUUUUGUUUUUUGAAACGAUCUGCAACAGUUAUCUGUUUACACCAUUUGUGGUAGUUCCAACUCAUGAAAUUUGAGAUGAUAACGUAUAUGACGAUUUGCAUUUCCAUUUUGCUACAGGUAUAGAUGACUGGCAAGAGUUGGAAUGUCCUUAUCGUGGAGUGGUUGCAAUAAUACACAUCACUUUUAAAUAUGUUAUUAUUGUUAUGGAAAUAUGACUAGUCUUUAUUAGCAGCGCAACCUUUUUGGUAAUGGAAGAUUAUGUGCACUUAAUAUAUCUAUGCAUAAAUCUGAUGAAAUUUCUAAUCUCAUGUUGCUUCAUUUAUAAUAUUGCGUAUCUAUGCCAGUGACAUUGAAUCGGAAUGGAUAGCGGAGGAUGAGCUUGGUGUAUACAUCACCAUCAGACAGCUUCAUGAUGGCACUAGAGAGCUUCGGCAUGUCAAAUUCAGCCGUGAAAAAUUUGGAGAGGUGCAUGCCAAGCAUUGGUGGGAAACUAACAGGGAUAGGAUACAAACUCAGUGUCUUUGCUAUAUUAUGGAUCAUAUUAAAUCAUAGCUCCUAACCAUGAUUAUCUGUAGUUUAUUAUUUAUAUGUUUAAAGAUUGUUUACUUUGGUGAAUACACAAUGAGUAAUGUAGUCAGACCUACUUCAUGCCUUAGAGAAUGAUUUUAGAGAAUGUAUAUGUAUCAUGACUGAUAUUAUUUUAAUUUUUGUGCAGCACACUCGGUCAGGGGGCUGUAAGCAUCUCAGGGAAGUCUUGUUUUCUAUAGCAGUAGCCAUUUUGGGACUCCUCUUAUUUGCUCUGCUCAUUGGUAAUAUGCAAGGUUCCUCUUGUUGAUAAGUUUUGGGUUCUUCUUGGUUUCUUUGGGUACUCAGCGGUGCUAUAUAUGCAUUUUGUAACAUCCAUCAUUCAAGAAAUAACAACAGCUCUGGGAAUUUACUACUUCAGAUAACGAAUAUUGUGCAAUGACUAAUAGCUUUCUUCAUCAUUCGAAUCUGCCUAGUUACACUGCUUGCAUUCUGCUAUGUAAAAUGACCGCUGAAACCAGCAAGCUUUGGUUUGGAUAGGGAAAUUCGCUGCAUAUUUCAGCCUCUCAAA